rnacentral:rRNA from 1 species
UACGAAGGGGGCUAGCGUUGCUCGGAAUCACUGGGCGUAAAGCGCACGUAGGCGGACUCUUAAGUCGGUGGUGAAUCCUGGAGCUCAACUCCAGAACUGCCUUUGAUACUGAAGAUCUUGAGUUCGGGAGAGGUGAGUGGAACUGCGAGUGUAGAGGUGAAAUUCGUAGAUAUUCGCAAGAACACCAGUGGCGAAGGCGGCUCACUGGCCCGAUACUGACGCUGAGGCACGAAAGCGUGGGAGCAAAC